ensembl:lncRNA
GUCUUGAUAAUAUACUGCUAAAGUGAUGUGCAGUAGAUGAAGCUUAAGUUUAAUCAUAUAACCAUUUAACUGCAUAUUUAUCAUCUAAGGACUGGCAACUCGCAUAUUUCGAAGGUCAGAUCUUGAAGUGGAAGGGUUCCCAUUUAAUAUUUGUUUUUCUUUAUUUGAAUAAUUUAGCUGACGCUCUUACCCAGCGCUACUUAAAGUAGGCUGAACAUAAUAUACUUUUCCAUGUUUCACAAGCUGUGCUCUACCGACAGGAUCCGUAUUCCUUUCUCCUGCUCUCCACUCCAUCGUCUUCCUCGCUACUGAAGCAAGACAUGAUCUAUUAUCCACAUAGUUGACCACUGUAGCAAAACCCUGACUACCACUGAGGUAACUUUGUUUCUGUCGUUCUCUCUCCCUUUUCACUCUCUCAUACACGCACACACAUGCCUACUAUCCCUCUAUCAACCCCCCUCCUUCCCAAAUCUCUCGACGGAUAACGGGCAGUUUGCUCCUUUCCUCAUGGAGUGUAGCAGAAACAAGCUGGAUGGGUAAGUAAUAACGAUGGGCUGCACUCCAUCUAAGUCGUCCAUGACCUACACACAGGAGCGGGUGUGUCGGGACUUGGACACUUGCUCCACCUUCGUCCCUAGUCUCAAGAGUUCUGUCUCUACCCCAGAGAGACCUUCGCCUCGGCUCUAUGUGGAAACCAACAGCGGCCAACCGACUUUCCUCAGUGUUCCGGUCCGUGAAACCUAUGGGUGGUCUGUAAGCCAGCCUUCCAGCCCGGACGCGUGGAACACUGCGUCCACCACCAACCCACUAUGUCUACCGCGAUCUAGUGUCAAGCCCAGCUGCAGCGACAGAGACAGUGACUCCGACCGCGAUGAGACUCACACAUCCAACUAGAGGUGAAAUCCCGAAGACUGGGGAAACUCUUCCCGCAACUGAAAAAAGAUCGUGGCCGGCGAUAGAAGUGAAAGAUUGGGAUAGAGCUAGCGAAAUGUUACCACUCUCAAAUAGAAAUAGAUAUGGAUGAAAGGACUGUCCGAUAUACAAAUACAAAUUUCAACCAUGUUUUCAGGAAAUAGGGUAUGUUUUACAUUAAAAAAAAUGACAUACACACUUGUAAAUGUUAAUAUCUUUAAGCAUCAAAUGUCAUUAAUUUAGGCCCAAAAUUAUUUACGUAGAAUGCUUUCUUAGACCCCUUAAUGAAUAUCGUUUUCCCUUAUGUAUGUCAUUGAUAUUAUUGUUUAUUGUCUAGAAUCUUACAGUAAAAGACAGUAUUUUUUAACUUUUGUAAGUCUUUUUUAAAGGCUGGUUGUAGUAUUCACUCAAACCCAGCACAUCAGUGACCAAAAUAUUGAAGGCCUAUCAGACCUGUACAUGUGUUAGAUCUAUGUAUUUUUAACCAUUAAGCUAAUAGUUGUUCAUGCAGAUUUGCACAGGUGAAAGAAUGAAUCACGGAUGGAGGCGUCUUCAAUGUUUAUCCAGCUGUCAUAGUACUUGUCUCUAGAUGUUACAAUCACAGCUCUUGCCAGUGUUGGUUUCAGUGGUUACAAUGUGACC